rnacentral:rRNA from 1 species
ACUCCUACGGGAGGCAGCAGUGGGGAAUAUUGCACAAUGGGCGCAAGCCUGAUGCAGCCAUGCCGCGUGUAUGAAGAAGGCCUUCGGGUUGUAAAGUACUUUCAGCGGGGAGGAAGGCAAUACGGUUAAUAACCGUGUUGAUUGACGUUACCCGCAGAAGAAGCACCGGCUAACUCCGUGCCAGCAGCCGCGGUAAUACGGAGGGUGCAAGCGUUAAUCGGAAUUACUGGGCGUAAAGCGCACGCAGGCGGUCUGUCAAGUCGGAUGUGAAAUCCCCGGGCUCAACCUGGGAACUGCAUUCGAAACGGGCAGGCUUGAGUCUUGUAGAGGGGGGUAGAAUUCCAGGUGUAGCGGUGAAAUGCGUAGAGAUCUGGAGGAAUACCGGUGGCGAAGGCGGCCCCCUGGACAAAGACUGACGCUCAGGUGCGAAAGCGUGGGGAGCAAACAGGAUUAGAUACCCCAGUAGUCCCAUGA